AUUACUUCGAUCGGAGGAGAGCUCAAAUCAAGAAAAAUGAACACAAGAAUCGUCUCUUUACCUACAAAUUGGAAGAAAUAUAUAGAAACUUGUGGGAUAAUCGAGCCAUUUAACCUUUUCUUGGAGUUCUAUUUUGAAACUUAUGAAAUGUUUCACUCUUGAAAUUAGUAUCUAAAGAAUGAGUUCUAUUGCCCCUUUUUCCAAAUUAGAAUUGUCUAUAAGUGGGACUUCCCUCAUCAUUGAUAUGUGCCAAUGCUACUAAUCUAUAAAGAUAAUGUUAUUUAGAGAGAGGCAUAUAUAUGGAUCCACUAGUGCAAUAUAAGGAGUCUUGUAAGUAAAAUAACUAAAGCAAAGUUAGAAAAUUGUUCAUAUAUAAACAACGACAAAAAAUCUAUCCAAUAUACAUUUCUAUUCAAAUCUCAAAUCAAUGGGAUUUUGCUAUAUUUUCUUCCUGCAUACAUGCAGAUUCAAGUAAAGAAGGCAACACAAGGGGAGUAAGUAGAGGAAUUGGAUCUUUACUGUGACAACAAGAUGGAUAUGAAACAGAUGAAGAAGAUGCAGAUGAAUCCAUUGGCCUUAACAAUGCACCCUUGUAAUCAAGAGACCUGCUACUAGGCUUGAGCUGCAGCGGGCGAGGAGCGCGCAUUUGCAACCUGCUCAGUGUCCUUUUCGCUACUGCAUAUUCAUCUUUGGGUAUACAAGUUUGGAAACCAGGAAACUCAUGUUCAUCACCACAUCUCUCCAUAACUUUCAUCUGUUUUUUCAACAACUCUUGCUAGAGAGGAGACUACACUCGUAGUACCUUUUAAUUUGAGUAUUAUCUUCGCUGUGGAUGAUCUAGUCGGGGCCUGGGGGCCUGUACAAACAAAUCACCAAGAAUUUAUGAGGAGGGACCUAUAAGGAUAUAUGUUAGUACGAAAUAUUAUUUGGAUUUUUCUUGUUUACAGUAUGCUCCAUACUCCUAUGCAGGAAUUAAUGAUAUGUUAACGGGAACAUGGUCCAACCUGUAUGGUUUCAUGAUAAAUAUUGAUAAAAUUGCAUCUUUGGUCCUCAUUUGCAAUUAAAUGUUAAUUUUAGUCCCUGUCUUACUAUUCAGUAAGCAUUUACCUGUCAUGAAUCAUUUUACAUGCAGAGUUAUCUACAAGAGGAAGUUAAAGGUGAUGUCAGAGUUAGCAAAAGUACAAGGGGUCUUUAAAUUUGAGGGUGCUUCGUGAAGGAAGUGGAAGUUGGGGUGC
rnacentral:lncRNA from 1 species